UAUGGAGAAUUUGUCUUGCAAGUCGGGCUGACGACUUUAAACCAAGCGCUAAAUGGGAGGUGUUUUGGAGUCAUUGGAGCAAAAUGAAGUGAAACUCGCUUAAUUCCAGGAUUUCUUCUCAAUCAUCUUGAAGAGAACGAAAAUAUGAAGCUAGCGGCGAAAGAAUGAGGUCAAGCCGACUUUGUAUGAUAAAGUUAGAGCAAAAUUUAUGAUUAAGCUUGUCAGUUCCCUAUAACUGACAGUACAAGAAGAGUUAAUGAAUUAUGGAGGAAUCUGAACUGUCAGUCUCCAAUGACCGACAGUAGGACGGAAAAUGUUACACCACGGGUGGCCCAUAUCCAUCUACUGGGUGUCAAUAGUAAUUCCAUGUGUUGUAACCCAACAAGGUCGAGAGAGGGAGAGAGGGAGAGUUGGGGUUCAUUUCCCCCAUUUCUCCUCAUUUUCUUUAUCUACUCUCUGAUGCUGCUCUGUGAAGAAAUGGAGGCGUUGUUAAUGGCGGAAGUCGAGAAGAAUUAUGAAUCAGAGAAGUGAGGAGAAGAGAUGAUGCAGUUUCGUUGAGAUGAUGGGAUUCGAAGUUGGAUUGAUGCGAAAUUAGGGUCUUGAUGGAAUCGAAGAAAGGGGAUCUGCUGUUAAUUUGAUAGCAGAAGAAGAUUGAUGAAAAAUUAGAAGGAACUGAAGAUUGGGUUCAAGUUAUUAACCGAGAUGAGUGUAAAGAUGAUGGUAUUGCUGCUAGUGUUGGUGAUAAAGACAUGAGAUUGAGGAGAGAACAGGGAAGAUAAGGAAUUGAAGGUCAGAUGAGAAUCAGUUGGUUACUGCUUGAGUAUGAAGAAAGAAGCUUGUUCUGGAAAUUGAAAUGGAGGGAAUACCUGGUUGUUUAUAUUGGCAGGGUAUGAAAUUGAGAUGGGGUUCGAACUGAGUUGAGGAUUGGAUGGAUGGAGAUGAGGAAAAAUGGGUUUUGGCUCGGGAUUGAACUGAAAAAGAGAGAAUGAUGAACUCAGAUGAAGAAUUUGCUAUACAUGGAAGAGUGAAGGCUGGCAGCUUGGUUGUGUUGCAGAAGUGCAGGUUGUGCUGAGUAAGUGCAUCUUGAGAUGGAGAUUGGCUCAAGUGUGUUGCUGUAUAUUGUUGCCUGAAAUGAAUUGCAGGUGGAGUUGUGAGAUUUCAGGUGUUGGUGCUUUGUUCUGGUGGUUAUGAGCUGCUCCAGAUGAUGCUGUUGCAGUUGCAGUCUAGAGCUAGUGUGCUUGAGGUGACUAAGAAGAUGGUUGCAGCUGCGAUUCAAGUGGUGGUCCUGAUCUGGGUAUGUUUGCAGAGUGAAGUCAGCUGGGAGAUUGUGCUGCCAGGGAUGUUUACAAGGGUUUGAUGGUUGGCGAUACAGGAUUGUGACUGCAAUCAAUGGGCAUGAAUUAGAAUUAAUGGCUGAAGUGGUUUGAGGAGUGCUAUGCUGAGAAGAAGGCAGUUACGGUGCUGGUAUUGAACUGCAGAUGGAGCUACUAUUGAGGUUCGUGGUUUGUUGGUGGGAUUGAUCAGUGAAGGUUAGAGUUUGCCAUGGGUUGCAGUUCAGAAUUGUGAGUUGUUUGAAACCAAGGUACCAGGGAAGACAAAUUGAUAUUGGCAGUGUUGCAGUGGUGGUUGAAUUGAUAUUGCAGACUAGUAUAAGUUGCAGAAUGGUCGAGGUUGGUGCUGUUGUUGGUUAUUGUAAGCAGCUGCUGAAGGAUAUGGUCUGGUACAAGUUAGAAAGGAACUGAAAUUGCAGCUGAAGUCUCAGGAAUGCAGUGAUACAGCAGUGUGUAUGCGGUUCAGGUGGAGAUGGGAUUACUAGAGAUGGCUGUGAUUUUUGCUGUCAGUUGAAGGCAUAUACUGUCAGUUCCAGCAAACUGAUAAGCCAUUGAUGAUGAAUGGGCUGGGCCUGUUCAGUUUUAUUAUGACCCACUUGAUACUUCAACUGCUAUUUCUCACGACCAGUUUGGGCGUGAUGAAGGGGCCUAUAAAAGAAACACCAGGACCUCUAUUUGGAGGAUAUAUAUAUCUUUUAUCUCUUCUUCUACUUUUAUUUAGGGUUUAGAAAUAUGAUAGGUUUUCUCUUCCUUCUUGUUAUGAACUCCAUGAACAUGAGCUAAGUUUUUAUUAUUGGUUAUAAAAUAAUUUGAUUUCACACAACAUGAU